GACGAACGCUGGCGGCGUGCUUAACACAUGCAAGUCGAACGGUAAGGCCUUUCGGGGUACACGAGUGGCGAACGGGUGAGUAACACGUGGGUGAUCUGCCCUGCACUUCGGGAUAAGCGCGGGAAACUGGGUCUAAUACCGGAUAGGACUGUGCGGUGCAUGCCGUGUGGUGGAAAGAUUUAUCGGUGCAGGAUGGGCCGGCGGCCUAUCAGCUUGUUCGUGGGGUAAUGGCCGACCAAGGCGAAGACGGGUAGCCGGCCUGAGAGGGCGACCGGCCACACUGGGACUGAGAGACGGCCCAGACUCCUACGGGAGGCAGCAGUGGGAAAUAUUGCCCAAUAGGCGCAAGCCUGAUGCGGAGGCGCCGCGUGAGGGAUAACGUCCUUCGGGUUGUGAACCUCUUUCCACAGAGACGAAGCGUGAGUGACGGUACCUGCAGAAGAAGCACCGGCCAACUACGUG
rnacentral:rRNA from 1 species